rnacentral:sRNA from 1 species
CUGUGUGGGGGAGAUAAAGUGAAUGUGGCUGUCGAUGCCGCCUGCGGUUAGAAUCAGCCCCUCGCCCGCAAUCGCUUCGGUCGAUGCACCGAUGACCAUCCCCGGCGUCACACCGUCCAUAAUGUGCGGGUUACCCGCCUUACCAAUGCCCGCGAUUUUACCGUCCCGGAUACCGACAUCCGCUUUGUAAAUGCCCGUACAGUCCACGAUGAGCGCGUUGGUAAUGACGGUAUCCAGACAAUCUGCAUCCGUGUGAGUGCAGGACUGCCCCAUGCCGUCGCGC